UGACCAUCUCUCAUUAUUAAUAAGAACAUCACAGACAAGGAUUCCACAUAUUUAUAAAAUUUCAUGUUAUCUCAAAAUCGCAAUUACAGAUUUAACUUCUGGCCAUAUAAAGGUGGAGCUCCGGUUUCUUGCUGAGCCAGGAAUCACCUAUUGCUAUCUGAUUUGCGGGGGACACAAAGAAGGAGGAAAAAUCACCAGGGUGAAGGAAGGCAUGAAGAGAAGGUAGUCUAAACUCUAAAGUAUUAGCAUUUUCUUAUAGUUAUAUCACUGCUACAUUCAGCUGAUUAUUACAAAUGCAUCUAAUAUAUUUUUCUCCUGUGUUUUUCUACAAG
rnacentral:lncRNA from 1 species